rnacentral:misc_RNA from 1 species
GUGGCUCAGUUCAGAUCGUAGGCUGCAACUCGCCUACGUGAAGGAGGAAUCGCUAGUAAUCGCAGGUCAGCAUACUGCGGUGAAUACGUUCCCGGGCCUUGUACACACCGCCCGUCACACCAUGGAAGUUGGCCACGCCCGAAGCCGUUACUCCAACCCUUGUGGAGGAGGACGUCGAAGGUGGGGCUGAUGACUGGGGUGAAGUCGUAACAAGGUAGCCGUACCGGAAGGUGCAGCUGGAUCACCUCCUAACAGGGAGACAACACAAUGAUUUUGAUGCCUGAGUACUUUUAUUCUUAGGCCGAAAUCCUGUCACCUUAGGUCGAUCGGUACCUCAGUUUUGAAAUCAAGAAUGAGCAGCAAUGUUGAUUGCUUGAUGGAGAUUUUCAGUUCCUAAACUUUGUCUAGGUCACACCCCAUAAGGGUUGAGUCUUCCUGGGCCAUUAGCUCAGGUGGUUAGAGCGCACCCCUGAUAAGGGUGAGGUCCCUGGUUCAAGUCCAGGAUGGCCCAUUCGGUGUUGGGGGUUUAGCUCAGUUGGUAGAGCGCCUGCUUUGCAAGCAGGAUGUCAGGAGUUCGAGUCUCCUAACCUCCACUGACCGAACUUAAUCUCCAUCUUCUGAAUCAAAGGAAGGUGAACUCGAAGGUGUGUGUGAUUUAGAUGUGUCCGCUGGCAUGAACUCAGCUUCCUGUCAUUCCAAGUGAAGAGUUUUUCUCUGAAUUUGGUUGAUAAGAUGCUGGG